UAAGCAAAUAGGAGCUUACAACACAGGUC
rnacentral:piRNA from 1 species